CAACGAGGAAUGCCUAGUAAGCGCAAGUCAUCAGCUUGCGUUGAUUACGUCCCUGCCCUUUGUACACACCGCCCGUCGCUACUACCGAUUGAAUGGCUUAGUGAGGUCUUCGGAUCGGCUUUAGGGACCCGGCAACGGGACUCUGUUGCUGAGAAGUUGAUCAAACUUGGUCAUUUAGAGGAAGUAAAAGUCGUAACAAGGUUUCCGUAGGUGANCCUGC
rnacentral:rRNA from 1 species